AUUUGUGCAAUAUGUGUACAAGACUUUAACCGUCCAACGAAGUGAUAAUUUCGAUAGGCCUGUUGUAAGCUCCGGCACAAGUUGUGCACAAACUUCCGGAACUAGCACCCUUCAAAUUUUCAAGGAAACGUCACUAUUUAUGGAGCCAGCACAGAAAGCAUGACAAAAGAGACCACUUUGCAAAUGUCACUAGUCUUAUCUCCAACUCUGUCAACAUGAUCAAUGUUUAGCGUGACGAUUACAUAUAUGACGGCAAGUUCUAAAAGGUUCAAACAGAAAAGGCACUACCAUCAAAUGUAUUAUCCAAAGACAAAUUACAUAUAUGGUACAGAUAAUAAAUACAUGAUAAUAUUGACGUAGUCCAAUGCAGACUACCUCUCCUUCUUUCUUUGUUUUGUUUUUUCUUUUGUUUUUUUUUUCCUGUUUUUCCUCUCAUCUUUUUCCUAACCUUGUUUCCCCCCUCAUACACAAGGGCUCUAAUGGUUUGCAAUGAUGUUACAAGAGACAUACAGGACUAUUGUCCACAAGAAUUUGGUGAAGUGCAAAGCUAACUGUACAAUUCAUAGGAGUCACCAGAAAAUAUCAUCAACUCCCACUGCAGUUGAUCGAUCCUCUUCCUCCUCCAACUCCAUCUCUGGUUCAAGGGAACCAAAUUCUGGUGAUUCAAUAUCAGCAAGAUUCUUGAGAUCAACAAUUGAAAGCUCGUCUAGAUGCCUCACCACCAAGUCUGCAGCACUGAGCUCAUAAAUCCGAUGCUUGCUAGCAACAGCAACACACUUCAUCCGAACAUCAUGUGCAGCCUCCACAGUCUGAUUGGAGUUCCCAAACACAAUACAACGCUCUGGAAUAAACUUUAGAAGCUGUGCUGCAUAAACAAACAUCUCAGGGUCAGGCCUCCCCCUGUGAACAUCUUCUGCUGCUACAAUCGUAGUGAAAUACCCAUUGAUACCAAUGCUUCCAAUUGCAGUCUCAAGAGUCUUCCUUGGACGCGUGGAUAUCAAUGCCAUUGGGAUCUUGUAAUGCAUCAAAAUAUUCACAAACUCUUUCGAGCCAGACCGUAAUCUAUAUAUCCCACCUUGCAAAGCUUGGUAAAUUUCUUCCUUCCUAUUGGCCAUUCUUCUCAGUUCUGCUGGCUCUCUUGACCAACACAGAACUUCAGAUAUUGCUUGUUCAUUCUUCAUCCCUUCUAGUCGUCUUAAAAUGAAAGCUGGUGGAGGGGAUUUUCCUUCUUCUUGAGAAAGAGCAAGCCAUGCUUGCUUAUCAAGAUCAGGAUUAUCCUCAAUUAUGACACCCUCCCAUUCCAAUAUGGCACCCAACCAGCCACAACCCAUCCUUUCUUGUCGAAGCAAAGGAUUAUGCAACGAAGGGUUAUCUGCUCUAUUUUCUGGUGGCCACAGACCUGGUUUUCGAUCAAUACCAGUGCCAGGACGGUAACUCCAAGUGCGUGGUAUUCUCUCCUCUUCUCUAUAUGAAUAUGCCUCUUUUGUUAAUUCCAUUGCAAGGGCCUUAAUUGAUGUAUUCACAAACCUGUCAGCUUUCAAUUUUGGAGACAAACAAACAAUCCUUCUGCCCAUAAAUUCUGAUUUUAAGAAGCGACAGUUACUCGAAGUUGAAGAUUUCCUUCUGUAGGAAGAAUUCGUGACAGAAAAUCCCCUGCAAUUGGGUCUAUACCCCACAAGAGAUGUUGCUGCAAUUGAGUCCGCCAUGUUUGCCAAGUAAAUAUCCCAAGUACAACUCUAGCUGAAUGAACCAAAUUCCACAGACCUCUUCACUUCUUGAAAACUUGAACACAAUUCUAACCCAACUUUCCCUGAUUCAAUCUCUAAUGGGAUUUACUCACCUGCCAAUACCAGCAGAUAGCUAUACGGCUCUGGAAUAUAGCAACCGCCAAAGGGAAAGAAUAUAACAGACUUCAAAAAACGAAAAAACCCCAGGUUGAUUGUGAAGAAACCAACGCAAUUGUUCCCCGUAAGCCAAACUAAGCAUAACCCAUUAAUCCCAGUAAUCUAAAACCCAAAUAAUUACAAUAAACAGCUAGAAAACCUAUAAAAACACAACCCCAGAAGUAAAAACAAUAUAUACAGAAAACACCGACCAAAUAAAAUACAAAUUACAGCACAUAAAUGGAGGAAACCAGCGUAUAAACAGGAACAGUAUGUAUAUAUUCUAUAUACCGGGAGGGGAAAGGACAGGUAAUGACGAACCUGGAGAGCAAUUAAUAUUGAAAAGAUUUCAACGGCUGAGAUAAGAGAAACAGAAAGAGAAACUAGACUCUUCCCAGAAGAUAUGUCUGAAUCUCUCUCUGCUUUUGGUUUCUCAUAGGAAACGUGUGGUUUUUUUUCCUGUUUUCGUGGUUUAUGGUAACGGGCCUUAA
rnacentral:misc_RNA from 1 species